rnacentral:rRNA from 1 species
UAGGGAAUCUUCGGCAAUGGACGAAAGUCUGACCGAGCAACGCCGCGUGAUUGAACAAGGUUUUCGGAUCGUAAAACUCUGUUGUUAGAGAAGAACAAGGACGUUAGUAACUGAACGUCCCCUGACGGUAUCUAACCAGAAAGCCACGGCUAACUACGUGCCAGCAGCCGCGGUAAUACGUAGGUGGCAAGCGUUGUCCGGAUUUAUUGGGCGUAAAGCGAGCGCAGGCGGUUUCUUAAGUCUGAUGUGAAAGCCCCCGGCUCAACCGGGGAGGGUCAUUGGAAACUGGGAGACUUGAGUGCAGAAGAGGAGAGUGGAAUUCCAUGUGUAGCGGUGAAAUGCGUAGAUAUAUGGAGGAACACCAGUGGCGAAGGCGGCUCUGUGGUCUGUAACUGACGCUGAGGCUCGAAAGCGUGGGGAGCAAACAGG